UCCCACAGGAAAUCAUGAGGAGCGUAUUUUCUGGCAUAUUUACAUUUUAAGGAACUCUUCAUCCUUUUGAAAUGACAGCAGGCCCUACAAAAAGUGGAGGGUUGUCAGACUUUGAAGCAAUGGACCAGUGUGAAUCCACUGGAUAGGUUUUCCAUUUGCAUGCUGCCUGGAAACUGUAGCAGUCAUACACGCCAUCCUAAGAUUUGGGACUGUUUACAUCAGUGCUACAGACUAGCUGCAUUUUAGCCAGCUGUUUCUCAAGGCCUCAUAAAAGUUGAAACAUCCGUAUUACCGAGAUUUGAUUUCAGCCCUUCCUCUACCCCCAAAAGGAAGGGUAAGGCACUGAAACUUAUUUUAAUAAGAACGCCAUAUGUUUCAGGUCAUAUAUCUUUUCCACUGGGUUAAACAAUCAUCAGCACUUCUGAGGAAAUACUGAAGAAGUAAA